GCUGAACCAAAGGAACAUAAUUAAAUCGCAUAUAUUAGUCACAGAUCUGAGAUAUCAGAGUACGUUUUUCUCCAAAGAGACUUCUAGUUCUUUCCCAAGAUUCCCAAGACUUUUUCUGCUAUUCAAAAUGCCAAACAACCAGGUGUCAAGUUGGUCAGCUGGAGCAAU
rnacentral:lncRNA from 1 species